UGACGGUCAUAUCACGUUGAAAAACUGAUUCUCAUCCGAACAUCGAAGUUAAGCAACAUCAAGCUGGGUUACUACCUAAAUGGGUAACUGCUUGGGAAUACCAAUUACUGU